AUGACCGUGCGCUUGCAGCGACUGAUCCAGAGCCUCAUCCACCCUCUCCAGUCUGGCUUUCUCCGAGGGCGUUGCAUCAUUGAAAACUUUGCGCUGGCAGCCGAGCUAGUACAACAAGCCAGGAAGAGGAAAUUACCAAUGAUUGUACUAAAGCUUGAUUUACAAAAAGCUUUUGAUAGUGUUAGCUGGGAGGCCCUAGAACAAAUCCUCGCGGCAAGAGGUUUUGGGGACAGAUGGAUCAGGUGGGUGGAUGCUAUUCUGACAACUAGCUCCUCGAGAAUUAUUGUCAAUGGCAACUGGGGCGAACGAAUUCUAUCCAAAUGUGGACUACGACAGGGAGACACCCUGUCCACAUACCUUUUCAUACUGGUCGCGGAUAUUCUCCAACAGCUUUGUAAAAAGGAGCACCAGGAGGGGAACCUUGUGCACCCCUUGGGAGCAGACGGGCCUUUCCCAAUCCUACAGUAUGCGGAUGACACACUGAUCUUGUUAAGAGGAGAUGCCCAACAAGCGACUGUUAUCAAGCGGAUUUUGGAAGAUUUUAGCAACUUCACUGGUCUAAAGAUAAAUUAUCACAAGAGUACCUUUGUUCCCAUUGGUUUAGACCAGCAAACUUCCCAUGGUAUCGCUAAUGUGCUGAACUGCCAGAUUGCAGCCUUCCCUUGCACCUACCUGGGAUUACCACUCUCUCUUAGCAAGAUACAUCAUGGUUUGUUGAUACCCGUGAUUCAGAAGGUGGACAAGCACUUGUCUGGUUGGCUAGCAACCUUCCUGUCCUGGGGAGGGCGUCUCACCUUGAUUAAUGCUGUUCUGGCAGCCUAG
rnacentral:rRNA from 1 species